UUAAUGUACAAAUUGUUUAUGUUCAUAAUUCCUCCUACAAUUCGAAAAAAAAUAAAAGGAUCUGUUUAUAUGUGAUAUAUACAAAGGUGGAAGAUGUUGUGAAAGAUCGUUCCCUGCUGCAAACGAAAAAUGUUCCUUUUGAACGAUCUCUUUUUCAAUACAGAAGUUUCACAUGGUUUAAAUGUUUUGAAGCCAAAUUGAAGAAGCUGCUGAAUGGAGUGAUUGUUUUACAUGUCAUAUAUGCGAGCUUGAGUUGAUUCAUUUUUGCUCCACUAGUUUUGAUGGCUUUUGAACUACAUUCCCAAAUAUUUCCCACCUUGAUCCUAAGCCCCAUUACAACCCUUGAA
rnacentral:lncRNA from 1 species